GAAAUGCGAUAAGUAGUGUGAAUUGCAGAAUUCAGUGAAUCAUCGAAUCUUUGAACGCACAUUGCGCCCUAUGGUAUUCCGUAGGGCAUGCCUGUUCGAGCAUCAUUUACACCUUCAAGCCUUGCUUGGUGUUGGGUGACUGUGGCCCCUUUGGGGCCACUCGCCUUAAAGUCAUUGGCGGCCGGUUCGUUGGCUUUGUAGCGCAGCACAAUUGCGUCCUCGAAGCCGCUGGACCAGCUCCCAGAAGCUAAUUUUAAAUGUUUGACCUCGAAUCAGGUAGGGAUACCCGCUGAACUUAAGC
rnacentral:misc_RNA from 1 species